rnacentral:tRNA from 1 species
AAGGAUUUAAGUUAAAUCAAACUAACAGCCUUCAAAGCUGUAAAUAAGCAAAUGUUUAAGCCUUA